CAUUAGGUGGCUGAAAGCAAGCAGCGGAAUUUUAAAUCGCCUUAUAGUAGAAUAGCAUCUAUUCCUAAUG
rnacentral:tRNA from 1 species